rnacentral:rRNA from 1 species
UACGUAGGGGGCAAGCGUUGUCCGGAAUCAUUGGGCGUAAAGCGCGCGUAGGCGGCCCGGUAAGUCCGCUCUGAAAGUCCAGGGCUCAACCCUGGAAUGCGGGUGGAUACUGCCGGGCUAGAGUCCGGAAGAGGCGAGUGGAAUUCCUGGUGUAGCGGUGGAAUGCGCAGAUAUCAGGAGGAACACCAAUAGCGAAGGCAGCUCGCUGGGACGGUACUGACGCUAAGGCGCGAAAGCGUGGGGAGCGAACAGG